rnacentral:rRNA from 1 species
UGGGCAACCUGCCCCAGACUCAGGGAUAACCCCGGGAAACCGGGGCUAAUACCCGAUACUCCGAUCGAACCACAUGGCUCGAUCGGGAAAGCUCCGACGGUCUGGGAUGGGCCCGCGGCCUAUCAGCUUGUUGGUGGGGUAACGGCCUACCAAGGCGACGACGGGUAGCUGGUCUGAGAGGACGACCAGCCACACUGGAACUGAGAUACGGUCCAGACUCCUACGGGAG